UUCUCUCCCACUCCUAUAGAAUCUCCGUGUUCCCAUUCACGUUUAAUUUAAUCACCAAUCUCUUUUUUGCCUUUGGUUUCUUAUGAUCUUGAUGUGCUCAUUAUAUAUCCAGUUUCCAUCAAAGAUGUAAAAGAAUUACACGGCUUGGCAAUGUGAUUUAAGUUGAUCCUUUUUAUCACAGUUCUCUAAUGUAUUCAAUCUGCAUAAUUAGUAUCUAUAAGGCCUUUUGUAUUAGAUAGCUGG
rnacentral:lncRNA from 1 species